AACGAACGCUGGCGGCGUGUUUAAGACAUGCAAGUCGCACGGAGGCAUUUAUGUAGCAAUACACGGAUGCCUGAGUGGCGCACGGGUGAGUAACACGUGAAUGACAUGCCCUUCAGUGGGGGAUAGCCCAGGGAAACUUGGAUUAAUACCCCAUGGUCUCGCGAGAGUAAAGGUGGCUGCAAGGCUGCCGCUGGAGGAUUGGUUCGCGUUCUAUCAGCUUGUUGGCGGGGUAACGGCCCACCAAGGCUACGACGGAUACCUGGUCUGAGAGGACGAUCAGGCACACUGGAACUGAGACACGGUCCAGACACCUACGGGUGGCAGCGGUCGAGAAUAAUUCACAAUGGGGGCAACCCUGAUGGUGCAACGCCGCGUGGAGGAUGAAGGUCUUCGGAUUGUAAACUCCUGUCAUCCGGGAGCAAGACCUGGCGGUCAAUAGCCGACAGGGUUGAUAGUACCGGAAGAGGAAGGGACGGCUAACUUCGUGCCAGCCGCCGCGGUAACAC
rnacentral:rRNA from 1 species